ACUGAAUUUAACUAAAUACUUACUAAAUAUUAAUGGUAGUUAGUAUUCUUUCCACCCUCAUUAUUAGUGAUGCUUAUUUAUCUGUUCAAUUUAAAAAAUGAUAAAGGCAAAUUUUUAUAACUUAUAGCCAUAGUAAUGACUAAUGACUUAUCCCUUGUCAUUUGCUAUGUUACUAAUUAUUAUUUAUUAGUAUAAAAUUACAAAAUGAAUUUUUAUUUUUUAAUUUAUUUAAAUAAAACAAGACUGAUUGUAUUAUCCUUCGUCUUGGUGAUGCCUAUGUUCAAUAUUGCAAUGGAUCAAAUGCUUAACGGAGGUAAAUUAUCUAAAUGAACAGUUGCCUUCGGUGCUCACACAAUUUCGUCUGAGUUCCACCCUCUAGUGUUCAUACAAUCUCAAUUAACAUAUCAUUUCUGUUCUAUUAGUUACUGUCAAUUUAUUUAUAAAUAGUAGUUUAUAAUUGUUAACCUCUGUCUUGGUGAUGCCUAUGUUCAAUAUUGCAUUGGAUCAAAUGCUUAACAGAGGAAUAUUAUAUAAAAAAUGAAUAGUUGCCUUCGGUGCUCACACAUUUUCGUCUGAGUUCCACCCUCUAGUAUUCAUACAAUCUUAAUUUUAUGGUUAAAAUUAUUAAUUCAUAACAUUUAUUAAAUAUUAUAUUUUAAAAUUUAUGAAACAUCUUCUGUCAUAGUUGAUUUUUACUUAUUGAAUUUUGUGAAUUAAUCAAAAUAAAUAGUAGAUAUUUUUAUUAACCCUCUGUCUUGGUGAUGCCUAUGUUCAAUAUUGCAAUGGAUCAAAUGCUUAACAGAGGAAUAUUAUAUAGAAAAUGAACAGUUGCCUUCGGUGCUCACACAUUUUCGUCUGAGUUCCACCCUCUUAUGUUCAUAUAGUUUCA